rnacentral:rRNA from 1 species
GAUGAACGCUAGCGGCAGGCUUAACACAUGCAAGUCGCGGGGCAGCGCGGGUAGCAAUACCUGGCGGCGACCGGCGGAAGGGUGCGUAACGCGUGAGCAACAUACCCGUAUCAGGGGGAUAACCGAUGGAAACGUCGCCUAAUACCCCAUAACAACAUUCUUCGCAUGGGGAGUGUUUGAAAGUUACGGCGGAUACGGAUUGGCUCGCGUGACAUUAGCUGGUUGGCGGGGUAACGGCCCACCAAGGCGACGAUGUCUAGGGGUUCUGAGAGGAAGGUCCCCCACACUGGAACUGAGACACGGUCCAGACUCC